GCGUCCUUUCUCUUAUGCAUUUCUUGCCUCGUUCACUCUUAGUUUUUGUUUUAUGCCUAAUUUCUGGUGAGUUUUCAAUCCAUAUUUUUUUCUUUCCUAAUUUCUUUUUGAUUUAGGGUCUUCUACCCCAAACACACAGGAAUAGGUAAUCAUAAUUUUUUUUGUUUAGGUUUUUUUAUUUUCUUUCUCAAUGGGAUUUUCUGAGUGGGUUAUGAUUAUGAAGGAUUGUUAUUUUGUGUAUUUGGUACAUUGUUGAGGGUGAACCUUGGUUUAUUUUUUGAAGAUUUGGACUUGUUGUUAUUAUUGGAAUAUUUUAGUCAAACAUAUAUACUUUGCUUGUGUUUUUUUGUAUUUUUCUUUUUUUUUUGGAAUAUUUUUCGAAGGUCGUGGUAAGCAGGGUGAUUGAAACCUAUUUUUUGAGGACUUAGGCCAUAGGUAUACGAUUUCUCGGUCAAGUAGUGACAAG
rnacentral:lncRNA from 1 species